rnacentral:rRNA from 1 species
CGGGGUGGAGUAACGCGUGGGUAACCUGCCUCAUACAGGGGGAUAACAGUUGGAAACGACUGCUAAUACCGCAUAAGCGCACAGGAUUGCAUGAUCCAGUGUGAAAAACUCCGGUGGUAUGAGAUGGACCCGCGUCUGAUUAGCCAGUUGGCGGGGUAACGGCCCACCAAAGCGACGAUCAGUAGCCGACCUGAGAGGGUGACCGGCCACAUUGGGACUGAGACACGGCCCAA